UGUAUAGCAAUAGCUACUUGCAUCAUUGUACAGAUGAUGCAAGAUCGACUAUGUCGAAUAAAAUUCUAGGUAGAAUUAUGAUAAUGACAUUGUCUGCCUAUGUGUCUUGACCAAAUUACGUGCCAGCAGUCGCGGUAAUACGUAGAAGACUAGUGUUAUUCAUGUUUAAUCGGUUUAAAGGGUACCUAGACGGUAGAUCAAGCUUUUACAUAUAAAUUAUGUUAAUUAAAGGACUAAUUUGCUAGAGUUACUUACGAGGGGGUAUUAAAGUACUGCUGGUGUAGAGAUGAAAUUCUGUCAUACCUCUUUUCGAAAGAAAAAUCAUGGCACAGGUAUAGGCGAAGGCAUCCCCUUAUGUGAUAACUGACGUUGAGGGACGAAGGCUUUGUGUAACAAACAGGAUUAGAUACCCUAGUAGUUGAAGCAGAAAAUGAUGAAUGUCAUAGAUUAGAUAUAUAAGUUUAUUCUAUAAAUGAAAGUGUAAGCAUUCCACCUCAGGAGUAAUUUGGCAACAUUGGAAUUGAAAUCAUUAGACCGUUUCUGAAACCAGUAGUGAAGUAUGUUGUUUAAUUUGAUGAUCCGCAAAAAACCUUACCACAAUUUGAAUAUUUAUAUUUUUUUUUAUUGUUUUCUUCUUAAUUUUCUUCUAAUAACAUAUUCAACAUGUAAAAAGAAGAAAGUUAAUAAAGAGGCAAUAAUAUAUAUUUACAAGCGUUGCACGGCUGUCUUCAGUUAAUGUCGCGAGACUUUGGUUAGUUCCAUUAAAUUAACGUAAACCCUUACUUUAUUUUUAUAUAGAGUAGUUCCCCGCU
rnacentral:rRNA from 1 species